CCUACGGGUGGCAGCAGUGAGGAAUAUUGGUCAAUGGGCGGAAGCCUGAACCAGCCAAGUCGCGUGAGGGAAUAAGGCCCUACGGGUCGUAAACCUCUUUUGCCGGGGAGCAAGGGCGGGGACGUGUCCCGGCCCGGAGAGUACCCGGAGAAAAAGCAUCGGCUAACUCCGUGCCAGCAGCCGCGGUAAUACGGAGGAUGCGAGCGUUAUCCGGAUUUAUUGGGUUUAAAGGGUGCGUAGGCGGGCUUUUAAGUCAGCGGUAAAAAUUCGGGGCUCAACCCCGUCCGGCCGUUGAAACUGGUGGUCUUGAGUGGAUGAGAAGUACGCGGAAUGCGUGGUGUAGCGGUGAAAUGCAUAGAUAUCACGCAGAACUCCGAUUGCGAAGGCAGCGUACCGGCAUCCAACUGACGCUGAGGCACGAAAGCGUGGGGAUCAAACAGGAUUAGAUACCCCUGUAGUC
rnacentral:rRNA from 1 species